rnacentral:rRNA from 1 species
CCUACGGGAGGCAGCAGUGGGGAAUAUUGGACAAUGGGGGCAACCCUGAUCCAGCCAUGCCGCGUGUGUGAAGAAGGCCCUCGGGUUGUAAAGCACUUUCAGUGAGGAAGAACGCCUGGUGGUUAAUACCCAUCAGGAAAGACAUCACUCACAGAAGAAGCACCGGCUAACUCCGUGCCAGCAGCCGCGGUAAUACGGAGGGUGCGAGCGUUAAUCGGAAUUACUGGGCAUAAAGCGCGCGUAGGUGGCUUGAUAAGCCGGUUGUGAAAGCCCCGGGCUCAACCUGGGAACGGCAUCCGGAACUGUCAAGCUAGAGUGCAGGAGAGGAAGGUAGAAUUCCCGGUGUAGCGGUGAAAUGCGUAGAGAUCGGGAGGAAUACCAGUGGCGAAGGCGGCCUUCUGGACUGACACUGACACUGAGGUGCGAAAGCGUGGGUAGCAAACAGGAUUAGAUACCCUUGUAGUC